ensembl:lncRNA
CAGCAUUGUCAGAUACCGUGUAAACCUUACUUUGUGCAACGCGUUUUAACAGAGGAGAUAUGCUGGUCCAACUUGCUGGUCCAACUGGUCCAAUGCUGGUCCAACUUGGGUCCAACUGGUCCAAUGCUGGUCCAACUUUACGGGACUUGUUGAAAUGCAGUCGCCCUCAACUAUGACUCGUUGGGGAUCUCAGUGAAUUUCAUAGUAGACCACUUUGACCAAACUGGUUAUCAAGCUGAUGUCCCCUUGUAUCACAACCUUUCAUUGAGGGGGGCUUCUGCUGCUGCUGCUAUCUGUUUUGGUCAAGGCAUACAUUAUUUCUCUGCUGGGAAUCUAAGCAAUAUUCAGGAACCAGGCUCUGUGAAGUUCAGUUAUCCUACGGACUCUGGCUGUGUGCAUCCCAAAUGGCACCCUAUUCCCUCCCCACUGGCCACAGACGUCAGUUCAACGUCGAGUUUUGAUUUACAUUUGGUUGAGUUUGUCAACUACCGUGAAAUUAGCAACAACAACAACAAUGUCACUGUUGUCAUUGGGUUUCAGAUUAAAAGUUUGGUGAAAAAAAAAAAAGUCAGUUGAUUGAUUCAACGUCAUCAAGUUGCAUUUUUGGGUUGAAAUAACGUGGAAACAACUUUGAUCCAACACUUUUUUGUUGUUUUUUGUCCACUGGGAUCAUAAUUCACUACUUCUGACCAGGGCCCAUAGGGAUCUGGUUCAAAGUAGUGCACUAUAUUAGGGAAUAGGGUGUCAUUUGACCAUGGCCCAUAGGGAUCUGGUUCAAAGUAGUGCACUAUAUUUUUUGAAUAGGGUGCCAUUUGACCAGGGCCCAUAGGGAUCUGGUUCAAAGUAGUGCACUAUAUUAGGGAAUAGGGUGUCAUUUGGGAACGUACUCUCUUAACAGAGAUCCAUAAUACAGUGUUUCACAGCAGUAGCAACACAGCCCUCUAGCUAGAGAUUUGAACAGGGCUGGGUCACUCUGAUAUUCUGGCAUGUCUGGCAAACCAGCAUCUGAUUUAGACCUGGGAAACCAGGUGUGUGUGUGUGUGUGUGUGUGUGUGUGUGUGUGUGUGUGUGUGUGUGUGUGUGUGUGUGUGUGUGUGUGUUUAAGUGUCAGACAGGAGAUAGAACAGCAGGCAACCAAGUUCCUGAGGAAUAGAAAUCUUGACCUUCCCUGGCUAAGAACAUCUGUCUUAAAGCUGCAUGGUCCUGCUCCUCACUCACUGGCUGUCCAGGAGUUAGCCACAACACACACACACAGUCGCUAUUGAACUGCAGUGGUGAUGUUGUCGAAAAAACAGGAGACACAGGAACCACCACCAGACCCUCUUAGUCGAUCACAGCACCCAGACCCCCCUCAUCGAUCACAGCACCCAGACCCCCUCAGUCGAUCCCAGAGCAGCGGUGUUCUACAAGCAGCAUGCUAACUCAGGCUAUAUCCAUUCUAGAUGAUUAUGAUGAUGAGAAAAUAUGAACUGACAAAUGAACAGAAAGAUUCCUGAGUGUGAAAUCCCUUGUGAAGAGGACCUCGGAGAGACAGACAGCCAUGGGACUGUACAUGAUAGGCAUUCAGAACCAUGGGGAUUGAUACAGACAUGGGGAUUGAUACAGAUGUGAUAUGCAUUCAGAACCAUGGGGAUUGAUACAGACAUGGGGAUUGAUACAGAUGUGAUAUGCAUUCAGAACCAUGGGGAUUGAUACAGAUGUGGUAUGCAUUGUAAAUCUGAUGAGGAAUAAAACUUGAAUAAAUGUUUCACCAUGACGGACACAACUGAAUGUCAUCUCGUGUCUGUCCAAUUUUAAAAUGAUCUUCAGCCUUGCAUAUGGCACCCUAUUCCCUAUGGGCCCUGGUCAAAUGGCACCCUAUUCCCUAUGGGCCCUGGUCAAAUGGCACCCUAUUCCCUAUGGG